UACGUAGGGUGCAAGCGUUGUCCGGAAUUAUUGGGCGUAAAGAGCUCGUAGGCGGUUUGUCGCGUCGGCUGUGAAAACCCGGGGCUCAACCCCGGGCCUGCAGUCGAUACGGGCAGACUAGAGUGCGGUAGGGGAGACUGGAAUUCCUGGUGUAGCGGUGAAAUGCGCAGAUAUCAGGAGGAACACCGGUGGCGAAGGCGGGUCUCUGGGCCGAUAUCGACGCUGAGGAGCGAAAGCGUGGGGAGCGAACAGG
rnacentral:rRNA from 1 species